rnacentral:rRNA from 1 species
UGGGACAAGCCCUGGAAACGGGGUCUAAUACCGGAUACUGAUCACCUUGGGCAUCCAAGGUGUUCGAAAGCUCCGGCGGUGCAGGAUGAGCCCGCGGCCUAUCAGCUUGUUGGUGAGGUAGUGGCUCACCAAGGCGACGACGGGUAGCCGGCCUGAGAGGGCGACCGGCCACACUGGGACUGAGACACGGCCCAGACUCCUACGGGAGGCAGCAGUGGGGAAUAUUGCACAAUGGGCGAAAGCCUGAUGCAGCGACGCCGCGUGAGGGAUGACGGCCUUCGGGUUGUAAACCUCUUUCAGCAGGGAAGAAGCGAAAGUGACGGUACCUGCAGAAGAAGCGCCGGCUAACUACGUGCCAGCAGCCGCGGUAAUACGUAGGGCGCGAGCGUUGUCCGGAAUUAUUGGGCGUAAAGAGCUCGUAGGCGGCUUGUCACGUCGGUUGUGAAAGCCCGGGGCUUAACCCCGGGUCUGCAGUCGAUACGGGCAGGCUAGAGUUCGGUAGGGGAGAUCGGAAUUCCUGGUGUAGCGGUGAAAUGCGCAGAUAUCAGGAGGAACACCGGUGGCGAAGGCGGAUCUCUGGGCCGAUACUGACGCUGAGGAGCGAAAGCGUGGGGAGCGAACAGGAUUAGAUACCCUGGUAGUCCACGCCGUAAACGGUGGGCACUAGGUGUGGGCAACAUUCCACGUUGUCCGUGCCGCAGCUAACGCAUUAAGUGCCCCGCC